CCUACGGGUGGCAGCAGUGGGGGAUAUUGCACAAUGGGGGGAACCCUGAUGCAGCGACGCCGCGUGUGGGAAGACGGUCCUCUGGAUUGUAAACCACUGUCACCCGGGACGAAAAUGACGGUACCUGGGGAGGAAGCUCCGGCCAACUACGUGCCAGCAGCCGCGGUAAUACGUAGGGAGCGAGCGUUGUCCGGAAUUACUGGGUGUAACGGGAGCGUAGGCGGGGAUGCAAGUUGGGGGUCAAAACUACGGGCCCACCUGGAAGUCGCACCCAGAACUGCAGCUCUUGAGUGAGGUAGAGGCAGGCGGAAUUCGUGGUGUAGCGGUGAAAUGCGUAGAUAUUAGGAGGAACACCAGUGGCGAAGGCGGCCUGCUGGGCUUUUACUGACGCUGAGGCUCGAAAGUGUGGGGAGCAAACAGGAUUAGAUACCCGGGUAGUC
rnacentral:rRNA from 1 species